UCUCAAGAACAUGAUCUUUCCCCACAGGAGUAAGAUUUUAAGAGUCAUAUACAAAAAAAAAAAAAAAACUGAAGACAUUAGAUCAGUGCCAGAGAGAGUGUUCCUGGAAACUUCGAGAGUCAUUUGGAUCUAGCCUGAAACAACGCAGGGAACCAGCUUCCCUCUUCUCUGACCUUAAAUUUAUCUUUUCCCUGCUGUCUGAGACCUCCAGGAUGGUACUGUGAAUCUCGUUACUGAAUUUUGCUUUUGCUUGCUGACACUGGCUCGAUACUAUUACCCAGCCUGGAAGGUCCUGGUCAUAUAAGGGAAGGAAAUGCAGACAGUCACAAACCUCAUCCUCCUGGAAUGAAACAAAAACAUGCUUCUCCUGGAACACCUGUUACUGGUUUAAAAGUCUGUUUAUACUUAGCCUUAAGACAAGCUGAAACUCAAAGAAGGGUGGAGUUUGAGAAGAAAAAGACAGCUGAAAAAGAUCUGUCCUGCACAGGGAUGCAUUUUUCCCCUGAGAAAUUCCAGAGCCCAGAUAACAAGGUGGCCAAAAGAUUCAGCCUUGAUGAUGUACCCUAAGAUGUGUUGGAGAAGUGUUGAUUUUAAACUGGAAAGGUGGCUCCAAGGAACACAGUAAGAGAGAGUUAAACCACUAUGGACUCUGUAACUAGUCAGUCAGGAUACUAACCUGAGCCCCAUAACAGUUCUUGGUUUUCUGGAUUUGGAGUGAACUAGGUGGAAAAUAUUACUCUCAGUUUGUCAGAGACUGAUUGGCAUUAAAAAGUUCAAAAGGUUUUCUUUUCGUGCCAAGGUGGAACAAAAACAAAAUUCUGGAACCAUGCAAAUGACUGUGGAAGAGAACUGUCAUCCUCAGAUCAGCUGUCCCUGAUUAGAACUGCUUCCUGACAACUUGUAAUGGAGGGUUUUAGCCAAUAGCUGUAUCUUCCCCGCAGGCUGCCAAACAUUUUCUCAUGGAAUAGUCUUUGCAGUGGACUGAUUUGCCCCACCACUGUCAGUUGAAUAUCAAAUUAUAAAUUCAGAGUAAAAAGAGUGACCCUACAGUGAUCCAAAGUGUCACAUCUACAAGUCAUUAGCACUGACAUAGUUCUAUAAAAAGGAGAAAAAAAAUUAUUUGAUUAAAAUAAUUUUUGGUUACUUAAUGAUUACAAGUUGCUACUGCCAAAGAAAGAAAGAAAGAAAGAAAGAAGGAAAGAAAGAAAGAAAGAAGGAAAGAAAGAAAGAAUCACUUGGAUUCAUCAGCUAUUAAUAUGAGCUUCUGAGGGAUAAAAAGCAAUGGAAAGUAAAUCAGAAUAGGUCAAGGUAGCCAAAUGGCCUAGUUUCAAAUGAAUAUAGGCUCAUGCUAUUCUGAUUAUUGUCAGACAGUUACUGCUGCACAGAACUCUAUAUGAAUCCUAGAAAAUGGCAUUUUUACUGUCUGGAUUUAUAAAUGCAAAGAUCUAUUCACUUAUUGCAGAACCAAAUUAUACUACUCCUGAAAAACAGUUACAUUUCUUCUAUACACUUAAGACAAAGAGCUAUUUCACAGAUAUUUCCCAUACUGAUCAAUCACACCCCCAAGUACUGUACUGUACAGUUGCUUAAUGGUAUUUUCACAAUUAAUCUUUUUUACAGUGGUUAUGAAGAAUUCAUGGAUGUGGAUAUCUGAGCUGCAUUUGUCAGCUUGUACUACAUUUCCUGUGUUUCCAGUGCUCAGAAAACUCAAAAUCUCAGCUUGAUCUGUGUCUGAAACACAGGCUUUUAAUUGUCUGUCCUUAGUAUAUAUUUGUUACAUUAGACAAACUGUGGUGGUCAGACUGGGAACCAUCACAGAAACAUCUUGCUAUAGAAGCUGGGCAAAUACCCUCAUAUUUUAUGUAUUUGUCAUGCUCAUCAGUACAAAUCUAGCUACUGAAAAAGCUAACACAGUAUAGCACAGGGAGAAUGGAUCUUACUGAACACUGUUUCAACCUACAUUGUCCCUUACAAGCUUUUGAGACACUUAGCAUAUAUUUUUAUUAUGCACCCACACCAUUUAUGAAAUAAAAAAAUAACUUUUUGGCCUCA
rnacentral:lncRNA from 1 species